GAUGAACGCUGGCGGCGUGCUUAACACAUGCAAGUCGAACGGAAAGGCCCUGCUUUUGUGGGGUGCUCGAGUGGCGAACGGGUGAGUAACACGUGAGUAACCUGCCCUUGACUUUGGGAUAACUUCAGGAAACUGGGGCUAAUACCGGAUAGGAGCUCCUGCUGCAUGGUGGGGGUUGGAAAGUUUCGGCGGUUGGGGAUGGACUCGCGGCUUAUCGGCUUGUUGGUGGGGUAGUGGCUUACCAAGGCUUUGACGGGUAGCAGGCCUGAGGAGGUGACCGGCCACAUUGGGACUGAGGUACGGCCCAGACUCCUACGGGAGGCAGCAGUGGGGAAUAUUGCACAAUGGGCGGAAGCCUGAUGCAGCAACGCCGCGUGCGGGAUGACGGCCUUCGGGUUGUAAACCGCUUUCGCCUGUGACGAAGCGUGAGUGACGGUAAUGGGUAAAGAAGCACCGGCUAACUACGUG
rnacentral:rRNA from 1 species